CUUGUAUUGUCUUUUGUAGUGAAUAUCGUUGUGGAAGGAGAACCCAAACUGGUUUAAAAGAACAUAUUUGUUGCUACGGUUACGAGCUCAGGGACGGGCGCUGUGUUGAUGCUACCAUGAAGUAGGAUGUGUACCUGAUGUAUUACUCAUCACAGAAGCUGUCACAACAGAUGAUUAUACUGAAGGUAUUAAUGAAGUUGUUCAUUUGUUUCCCGA